rnacentral:rRNA from 14 species
UAGGGAAGCCGUAGAGAAAUCGAGUCCGAAUAGGGCGAAUAGUCGCUGGGUGUAGACCCGAAACCAAGUGAUCUAUCCAUGGCCAGGAUGAAGGUACCGUAACAGGUGCUGGAGGUCCGAACCGACUAGUGUUGCAAAACUAGCGGAUGAGCUGUGGAUAGGGGUGAAAGGCUAAACAAACUUGGAAAUAGCUGGUUCUCUCCGAAAACUAUUUAGGUAGUGCCUCAAGUAUUACCUGCGGGGGUAGAGCACUGUUUAGGCUAGGGGGUCAUGGCGACUUACCAAACCUUAGCAAACUCCGAAUACCGCAGAGUACAGCUUGGGAGACAGAGCACCGGGUGCUAACGUCCGGACUCAAGAGGGAAACAACCCAGACCGCCAGCUAAGGUCCCUAAAAUUGGCUAAGUGGGAAACGAAGUGGGAAGGCUAAAACAGUCAGGAUGUUGGCUUAGAAGCAGCCAUCAUUUAAAGAAAGCGUAAUAGCUCACUGAUCGAGUCGUCCUGCGCGGAAGAUGUAACGGGGCUAAGCCAGUUACCGAAGCUGCGGAUGCAUCGCAAGAUGCGUGGUAGGAGAGCGUUCUGUAAGCCUGUGAAGGUGGGUUGUGAAGCCUGCUGGAGGUAUCAGAAGUGCGAAUGCUGACAUGAGUAGCGUUAAAGGGGGUGAAAAGCCCCCUCGCCGAAAGCGCAAGGUUUCCUACGCAACGUUCAUCGGCGUAGGGUGAGUCGGCCCCUAAGGCGAGGCAGAGAUGCGUAGCUGAUGGGAAACAGGUCAAUAUUCCUGUACCGAUCAAUAGUGCGAUGUGGGGACGGAGAAGGUUAGCUCAGCCGGGUGUUGGAUGUCCCGGUUCAAGCCUGUAGUCGUGCCUGGUAGGCAAAUCCGCCGGGCUUAGAUGAGGGGUGAUAACGAGGAGGCUUGCCUCCGAAGUGAGUGAUACCCUGCUUCCAGGAAAAGCCACUAAGCUUCAGCUAUUGACGACCGUACCGCAAACCGACACUGGUGCGCGAGAUGAGUAUUCUAAGGCGCUUGAGAGAACUCUGGAGAAGGAACUCGGC